GUCCUAGCUGUAAACGGUGCACAUUUGCUGUAGGCGGAAUCGACCCCGUCUGUGGCGAAGCUAACGCGUUAAAUGUGCCGCCUGGGGAGUACGGUCGCAAGAUUAAACUCAAAGAAAUUGACGGGGCCUGCACAAGCGGUGGAGUAUGUGGCUUAAUUCGAUGCAACGCGAAGAACCUUACCUGGCCUUGACAUGUAGGUAGUAGGACCGUGAAAGCGGAACGAGGUAGCAAUACCAGCUUACACAGGUGCUGCAUGGCUGUCGU
rnacentral:rRNA from 1 species